ACCUAAACCCGAUCGAAGUGAAUGCCACAAUUUUUCAUUGUGGCAGAAACGGGAGCGGGACGGCAG
rnacentral:sRNA from 1 species